GACGAACGCUGGCGGCGUGCUUAACACAUGCAAGUCGAACGGAAAGGCCCUGCUUUUGUGGGGUGCUCGAGUGGCGAACGGGUGAGUAACACGUGAGUAACCUGCCCUUGACUUUGGGAUAACUUCAGGAAACUGGGGCUAAUACCGGAUAGGAGCUCCUGCUGCAUGGUGGGGGUUGGAAAGUUUCGGCGGUUGGGAAUGGACUCGCGGCUUAUCAGCUUGUUGGUGGGGUAGUGGCUUACCAAGGCUUUGACGGGUAGCCGGCCUGAGAGGGUGACCGGCCACAUUGGGACUGAGAUACGGCCCAGACUCCUACGGGAGGCAGCAGUGGGGAAUAUUGCACAAUGGGCGGAAGCCUGAUGCAGCAACGCCGCGUGCGGGAUGACGGCCUUCGGGUUGUAAACCGCUUUCGCCUGUGACGAAGCGUGAGUGAUGGUAAUGGGUAAAGAAGCACCGGCUAACUACGUG
rnacentral:rRNA from 1 species